ACGGGUGACUAACGCGUAAGUAACCUGCCUUGUAGCGGGGGAUAACUAUUGGAAACGAUAGCUAAUACCGCAUAACAAUGGAUGACUCAUGUCAUUUAUUUGAAAGGGGCAAAUGCUCCAUUACAAGAUGGACCUGCGUUGUAUUACCUAGUAGGGGAGGUAACGGCUCACCUAUGCCACAAUCCAUAAUCGACCUGAGAGGGGGAUGGGCCACACUGGAACUGAGACCCGAACCACACUCCUACCUCAUACAGGAGGAAGGACUCUUCAGUAUUGGAGGCUGCCCUAACCGCUCAUCCCCGCGCGAGAGAAGAAUGUUAUCGGAUCUCACUGUUCUGAUGUAAAUCAAGAACGAAUGUGAGAGUGGAAACUUCACACUGUGACGCUAGCUUAUCAGAGAGGGACGGCUAACUACGUGCCAGCAGCCGCGGGAAUACCUAAGUCCCGAGCGGUAUCCGGAUUUAAUGCGGGUAAAGCGAGCUCAAGCGGAAAGAUAAGUCUGAACCCAUGGGCUGCGUUUUAACCAGAUUGCGCUGUGUAACCUGUGGAACUUGAGAGCAACUGGUGAAAGUGGAAUUCCAUGUGUUACGGUGAAGUGCAUAGAUAUAUGGGAGGAGCUUCGGUGGGCGAAAGCGGAUCUCUGGGCUGUAACUGACGCUGAGGCUUCGAAGGUGAGAUGACCAGUUAGGUACCAGAUCCCCCUGCAUAGACCACUCCCGUAAAGGAUG
rnacentral:rRNA from 1 species